AUCAAAUCUCUACCUCUUUCUUGCUGCUAAAACGAGGUGCUUUCUUCCUAGAUUUUUGCAGGGACCACUGAUACACACACUCUCUGGAUACAGACACACUCACACACACACCGACGCAGUGUAAACUCCCACAGCGUCCUGGCUCCCUCCUUCCAACACUUCCUCCUUCCCGCUCGUAAGAAUUGCUGAACAUUUUGCUCCAAACUCUCCAAGUCACCCACGUGUUUGUUCUCCCCUUUUGCUGUUCAAUUUACUUCCCGACUUGACAAAGAGAAACUCAGUUGUUUCUCAGGCUUUUAGCUGCAAUCCGGGGACCAGGCUGUCUUAUCCACUCCCCGCGCCGUCUCCAGUCAGAACUGCAUGGCUGACCCCUCCUCACUCUGGGAUGCAGAAAAGGCAGACUGCACUUAGUGAUGGGAGAUACAUAUUACAACAAACUAACAAGCACAGCAUGAUUGCUAUGUUUGUAGUAGUCUGACAAAGGACCUCGGCCUAUUACCCUGGUGAACUAUGAAGACGAGGGCAUUUGGUGAGGCUGCAGUUCUAUACAACUUAUCCAUCAUCUCACACUGCCUUGACUGCAAAAGGAACAGAAACUGCAGUGUUUGACUCCUUGCUGAAGAAAACAAACUCACCCCAGGAAAAUGAUCAAAAAAAGCUAAAGUGAAACAAUGAUUAUUCUCUUUUAUGCUUUUGUUGAUGAGUCACCUCAUUUGUAACCAUUACCCCAGCUUAGUCUAUAUUAUUUAAAUCCCUUCUUUUGCCUAAUCUCAUUUGCUUCCAUCCAUACUGAUUUGCAUUGUUUUCUCUUGAGACACUUCGCAAAGGAAAAUGGUUGUGCUUUGAUCUACUCGUGUUCUUUCUAUAAUCUAGCAGAGACCUUAACACUCAGUACAGCACUUUACUGUCACACAAUUAUGCCAUCAUCUAUUACCAUCGAUAUUUUUUUUCCAGAGAAACUGUUCUGCAUCUCUGAAAUUUCUGGUGCUUCUUCAAUGAUCAUGAGCAAUAAAACAAUAAACUGAAAGAGGAAAUAGAAAAUUCAAACACAAAUUCAAUAAAAAGAUCGCAUUUUCCUCCCUCUCCACACAGCUACAUUCCCUCCUCUGACAUCUGAUGUAUUCACUCAUAUAAGUCUGCAUUUUACUUUUGUAUUUUCCUGAGGUCUCAUAAAUAUGGGGGUGGGGGGAAGCUGAGUUGUCCUGUUUUCUCCACUAACCCCAAAGUAUUUUGUACUCUCUCCUGAGAAAUAACAUGUGAUCCUCAAAGUGCACUGAUGUGGCAAGCUAGGGAAAUAGCACAGGAGACUGGCCUGGCUUAGCACACAGGUCACUGUACCUUUGUGAACAAAGAAUAGGACUGAAGGAGAUGGCAGGAAGUUCAGUCCCCACCCCACCCCCCAGGUAAGAAGAUAUACUAGUCUCCCUUUAAUUUCCACAAGUUGUUCUGUGUCUUAUAAUAACAAAUGAACUGCUAUUAUUUGUAUAUUUGCACAAAUAUAAGACUAUGCCUUGGAUUUAGAAAUUCUAAUUGAGAGAAGAAAGAACACAGGUUAUGGUUUAGAAGUGAGGUGCCCCUCAAAAGUUCAUGUGUGAGAAUGCAAGAAAGUCUAGAGGGAAAAUGAUUGGGUUAUGAGAGUCUUAACCUAAUCAGUACAUUAAUCCACUGAUAGGGGCUAACUUGGAUGGUAACCAUAGGCAGGUAGGGUGUGUCUGGAGGAGGUGGGUCAUUGGGGGCAUGGCUUUUUGAGGUAAAUGUAUUGUUGCUGGUUUGUAGAGCCAACCUGGUUCCAGGUCUUAAACUACUUUCCUCUACCUCACUUUUCUGCCAUGAUUUUUCUCUUGGCCCCAGAGCAACAAAGUCAGCCAUUCAUGGACUGAGACCUCUGAAACUGUGAGCACCAAAAUAAACUUUUCCUCCUCCAAUUGUUCUUUUUCAUUAUCUUUGGUCACAGCAGAAAAAAAAAAUGACUAAAAUAUAUAUUAGAAUAUCAUUGUAUAUUUCUCUUUUAUUUUUAAUUGUAGCAAGAACACUAAACAUAAGAUCUGCCCUCUUAUCAAAUGUUUAAGUGCGCAAUACCUGUUGCUGAUUAUAGGUGCACUCGAAAGGAUCUUUAGAGCCUUUCAUCCUGCCUAAUCUGUAACUCCCCACUUCUCCCUCCCUCCAGCUCUGGUAACCACAAUUCUACUCUUUCAUUCUAUGAAUUUGACUAUUUUGGACAA